rnacentral:rRNA from 1 species
ACGAACGCUGGCGGCGUGCUUAACACAUGCAAGUCGAACGGAAAGGCCCCUUUGGGGGUACUCGAGUGGCGAACGGGCGAGUAACACGUGAGUAACCUGCCCUUGACUUCGGGAUAACUUCAGGAAACUGGGGCUAAUACCGGAUAGGAAUCCUUGCUGCAUGGUGGGGGUUGGAAAGCUUCGGCGGUUUUGGAUGGACUCGCGGCUUAUCAGCUUGUUGGUGGGGUAGUGGCUUACCAAGGCUUUGACGGGUAGCCGGCCUGAGAGGGCGACCGGCCACAUUGGGACUGAGAUACGGCCCAGACUCCUACGGGAGGCAGCAGUGGGGAAUAUUGCACAAUGGGCGGAAGCCUGAUGCAGCAACGCCGCGUGCGGGAUGACGGCCUUCGGGUUGUAAACCGCUUUCAGCAGGGGCGAAGCUUGUGGUGACGGUACCUGCAGAAGAAGCACCGGCUAACUACGUG